CGACUUAGCGGCGGACGGGUGAGUAACGCGUGGGUAACCUGCCUUACACUGGGGGAUAACAGUUAGAAAUGACUGCUAAUACCGCAUAAGCGCACAGGGCCGCAUGGUCUGGUGUGAAAAACUCCGGUGGUGUAAGAUGGACCCGCGUCUGAUUAGGUAGUUGGUGGGGUAACGGCCCACCAAGCCGACGAUCAGUAGCCGACCUGAGAGGGUGACCGGCCACAUUGGGACUGAGACACGGCCCAGACUCCUACGGGAGGCAGCAUG
rnacentral:rRNA from 1 species